UUUUGAGCGUUCGGUGGAUGCCUUGGCAUCAGGGGCCGAUGAAGGACGUGGUGGCCUGCGAUAUUCCUCGGGGAGCCGGCUGGCGGGCUGUGAUCCGAGGGUUUCCGAAUGGGGGGACCCGGCACGAGUUAUGUCGUGUCACCUGCAUCUGAAUUGUAUAGGGUGUGGGGGGUGACGCGGGGAAGUGAAACAUCUCAGUACCCGUAGGAGAAGAUAUUCCGUGAGUAGUGGCGAGCGAAAGCGGAUGAUGGUUAAACCGUGUGCGUGUGAUACUCGGCAGGGGUUGCGUGUGCGGGGUUGUGGGGCUGUCCUGUUCCUCUUCUGCCGGAGAGGGGGCGCGUGUGCUGGCCGGUAGCUGAAUCGUCUGGGAAGGCGUGGCGUAGUGGGUGAUACCCCCGUAGGCGGAACUGGUUGGUGCGUGUCUGGGAUGGUGUUGCCCGAGUAGCACGGGGCUCGUGGAAUCCUGUGUGAAUCUGCCAAGACCACUUGGCUGCCUGAAUACCUCCUGAUGACCGAUAGUGGAUAGUACCGUGAGGGAAUGGUGAAAAGUACCCCGGGAGGGGAGUGAAAUAGUACCUGAAACCGGGCGCUUACAAGCCGUCAGAGCCUCCUUAUGCUUUUUGUGUGUGGGGGUGGUGGCGUGCCUUUUGAAGAAUGAGCCUGCGAGUCAGUGGCGUGUCGCGAGGUUAACCCGUGUGGGGUAGCCGUAGCGAGAGCGAGUCCGAAUAGGGCGAGUGUAGUGGCGCGUUCUGGACCCGAAGCGGGGUGAUCUACCCAUGGCCAGGUUGAAGCACGUGUAAGAGCGUGUGGAGGACCGAACCCACCUAGGUUGAAAACUGGGGGGAUGAGCUGUGGGUAGGGGUGAAAGGCCAAUCAAACUCCGUGAUAGCUGGUUCUCCCCGAAAUGCAUUUAGGUGCAGCGUCGCGUGUUGCCCGGCGGAGGUAGAGCUACUGGGUGGCUGAUGGGCCCCACAGGGUUACUGACGUCAACCAAACUCCGAAUGCCGUUCGGGUUGUAGCGUGGCAGUGAGACUGCGGGGGAUAAGCUCCGUGGUCGAGAGGGAAACAGCCCAGAUCGCCGGCUAAGGCCCCUAAGCGUGUGCUAAGUGGGAAAGGAUGUGCGGUCGCGCAGACAACCAGGAGGUUGGCUUAGAAGCAGCCAUCCUUGAAAGAGUGCGUAAUAGCUCACUGGUCAAGUGAUCGUGCGCCGACAAUGUAGCGGGGCUCAAGCACACCGCCGAAGCCGCGGACCCAUGGCAGUGUUCCUUUCGCCGUCCGGCUUGCCCGGGUGGUGGCAGGGGUUGUGGGUGGUAGGGGAGCGUCCUGCACCGGGGGAAGCCUGUGGGUGACUGCUGGUGGACGGUGCGGGAGUGAGAAUGCAGGCAUGAGUAGCGAUACUAGGGUGAGAAGCCCUAGCGCCGAAUGACCAAGGGUUCCAGGGCCAGGCUAGUCCGCCCUGGGUGAGUCGGGACCUAAGGCGAGGCCGACAGGCGUAGUCGAUGGAUGACGGGUUGAUAUUCCCGUACCGGCGAAGCACCGCCCAUGCUGACGCGCGGGUGCUAACCCACGCCCGGCCGCCAUAGUGGCCGCGCCUACUCCUUUCGGGGGGUGGUGUGGUUGUGGUGGUGGGGUCUGGGGACCCUCCGUGCAGGUAGGCAAGCGUGUUAACAGGGGUGACGCACAGUGGUAGCCCGGCGGACCUGAUGGCUUGGUCCGUUCAAGCGCGCAGCCCGUCCUCCAGGUAAAUCCGGAGUGGCUGUCUUUGAUGACGGGGGUGAGGCGUGAUGGUGACCCCACGCUGGUGGGGGAUAACAGGGUGAUCCUGGGGUGCCGAGAAAAAGCCUCGACGCGAUGGUGCCAGCCGCCCGUACCCUAAACCGACACAGGUGGUCGGGCAGAGUAUGCCUAGGCGCACGAGUGAAUCAUGGUUAAGGAACUCGGCAAAAUGCCCCCGUAACUUCGGGAGAAGGGGGGCCCGAUCCCUGAAAGCACUUUUGGCGGGCUAGGGGGAGGGUCGCAGAGGCCAGGGGAAGCGACUGUUUACUAAAAAAACACAGGUCCGUGCGAAGCCGUAAGGCGAUGUAUACGGACUGACGCCUGCCCGGUGCUGGAAGGUUAAGAGGAACCAUCAACCCCUCGGGGUGAAGUGGUGAAUUUAAGCCCCAGUAAACGGCGGUGGUAACUAUAACCAUCCUAAGGUAGCGAAAUUCCUUGUCGGGUAAGUUCCGACCUGCACGAAUGGCGUAACGACUUCCCCGCUGUCUCAACCAUGAGCUCGGCGAAAUUGCAGUACGAGUAAAGAUGCUCGUUUCGCGCAGAAGGACGGAAAGACCCCGGGACCUUUACUACAGCUUGGUAUUGGCGCCCGCUAUAGCUUGUGCAGGAUAGGGUGGGAGACUGUGAAGCCGCCACGCCAGUGGUGGUGGAGUCGUCCUUGAAAUACCACUCUGGUUAUGGCGUGCGCCUGAACCUGGGCCCGUGAUCCGGGUUAGGGACAGUGCCUGGUGGGUAGUUUAACUGGGGCGGUUGCCUCCUAAAGUGUAACGGAGGCGCUCAAAGGUUCCCUCAGCCUGGUCGGCAACCAGGUGUUGAGUGCAAGUGCACAAGGGAGCUUGACUGUGAGACCGACGGGUCGAGCAGGUACGAAAAGUAGGAACUAGUGAUCCGGCGAUCCCGUGUGGGUGGGUCGUCGCUCAACGGAUAAAAAGGUACCCCGGGGAUAACAGGCUGAUCCUGCCCAAGAGUCCAUAUCGACGGCAUGGUUUGGCACCUCGAUGUCGGCUCGUCGCAUCCUGGGGCUGGAGCAGGUCCCAAGGGUUGGGCUGUUCGCCCAUUAAAGCGGUACGCGAGCUGGGUUUAGAACGUCGUGAGACAGUUCGGUCCCCUAUCCUCUGCGCGCGCAGGAGACUUGAGAAGGCCUGUCCCUAGUACGAGAGGACCGGGACGGACGAACCUCUGGUGUGCCAGUUGUCCCGCCCGGGGCACGGCUGGUUGGCUACGUUCGGGAAGGGUAACCGCUGAAAGCAUCUAAGCGGGAAACCAUCUUCAAGAUAAGGUCUCCGCAGGAAGGACUUGUCCUUCCUGGUAGGCCCCCAGCAGACUACUGGGUUGAUAGGCCAGGAGUGGAAGACCGGCAACGGUUGACUGAGCUGACUGGUACUAAUAGGCCA
rnacentral:rRNA from 1 species